rnacentral:snoRNA from 1 species
UGGCCGUGAUGACUAUCUUAGGACACCUUUGGAGUACCCGUGAAAAAAUAACCUUUCUGAGCCAU